UUCCGGUUGAUCCCGCCGGACCCGACUGCUAUCAGAGUGGGACUAAGCCAUGCGAGUCAACGUAGUAAUACGAGGCAUACGGCUCAGUAACACGUAGUCAACAUGCCCAGGGGACGUGGAUAACCUCGGGAAACUGAGGAUAAACCACGAUAGGUCAUGAUUUCUGGAAUGAUUUAUGGCCCAAAUCUAUAUGGCCCCUGGAUUGGACUGCGGCCGAUCAGGCUGUUGGUGAGGUAAUGGCCCACCAAACCUGUUACCGGUACGGGCUCUGAGAGGAGGAGCCCGGAGAUGGGCACUGAGACAAGGGCCCAGGCCCUAUGGGGCGCAGCAGGCGCGAAAACCUCUGCAAUAGGCGAAAGCCUGACAGGGUUACUCUGAGUGGUUUCCGCUAAGGGAA
rnacentral:rRNA from 1 species